GCUGCUGCAUGUUGCAAAGCAACGCCCUGUGUGUUCCUCCAGACCAGUGAGCAAAAUGCAAUACCCGAGAAGAUACAAGGAGCCUGCGAGAUGUCCUGCUUUGCUCUCGUGAGGAGAGAGCAAACCAAGGAAAUCAGGAGUUAGAAAAAUAAACAAAUAAAGCAAAAUUAAGUGUAUGGAACAUUAACCUUAACUCCAUAUGCGGAAACAGAAGAAAAACAUGGGACAUGUCAAGUAUAAAUGCAUAUUUCAUGCAGCAGGUGCUCUGCAAUGGCUUCUGUGGAAGUGAUAAUCAAAUUUCCUGACUGCAAACCAGGUAAGGUCGUGCACAAGCAACUCUUCUG
rnacentral:lncRNA from 1 species